rnacentral:rRNA from 1 species
GUUUCGGUGGUCAUAGCGUGAGGGAAACGCCCGGUUACAUUCCGAACCCGGAAGCUAAGCCUCACAGCGCCGAUGGUACUGCAGC